CGACUUCAGCAGGAAAACAAGGAAACUGCAUAUGGUUCUGCAAACAACUUUGUGAUUUCUAAUGACGUGCAUCAAAAUGAAACAGAGCUGGCUUCAGAACGUCUCAGCAGUGACUGCUGACCACUGAAUUUUCACGUAAAACAUCACCAGAUAAAGUUAGCCCCGGGUGAUCCUGCUCAGCAACUCAGAAGGGAAGGGAGCUUCAGAACUGCUUUCUAUCCUCAUUCUAAAGCCUCUGGGUGGGACCCAAGGUGAAGACAAUCUCUCUGUAUCUUGACGCCCACACUAUUAUUAUAAAACUCCAUGGUAUUGUAAUCUAAAGGGAGAACAAACAGUUGUACAAAACAAAAGGGUCAAUAAGAAAUAGACAUCAGAGGCUGGGUGCGGUGGCUCAUGCCUGUAAUCCUGGCACUUCAGGAGGCCAACGUGGGGGGAUCACCUGAGGUCAGGAGUUCAAGACCCUGUCUCUACUAAAAUUAGCAGGGCAUGGUGGUGUGUGCCGGUAAUCCCAGCUACUUGGGAGGCUGAGGUGGGAGAAUCGCUUGAACUUGGGAGGCAGAGGUUACUGUGAGCCAAGGUCAUGCCACUGCACUCCAGCCUGAGCAACAGAGCCAGACUCUGCCUCAAAAAAAUAAAAAUAAAAAUAAAAUAAAUAAAUGAAAUGAAAAUAUAAAAAAAGACAUCACAUGUAAAAUAUGCUGAGAUUAUUCUGGCAUGAUUCUAUCUGGACAGAAUGCAGAUAUUCCUGCUUCAAUGCCACCUAACACUGUGUAUGAGAUCCGCCACGUACAGGGAAAAGCUGCAAAGAAAACCAUGUGCUUAGGCCACUUUUUGGCUUCACAACCUUUGGCUUCUCUCAAGAGAAUAUUAGAGUAUAGAAUUGAUCAUAAAGCAAAUUUCUGCACCAAGAAUUUACCUUUCCAAUGGAGAAAAGUUUGUGUUUACUGAAUAUAAAAUAAAUUAAUUAAAAAGGCUUGUAAUCCAACUAAAAGACAUCCAAGAUGAUGUUGGAACAAUCUAACAAAAAAUGAUCAUUUUGUGAUAAACACCCAUAAGAGCAGUCAAAUUAAGUCAGUAAGUAUAAACGAAAAAUUGUCAUGGUUAUUUUCUAUCUAACGCCAUGACUUAAAGGCUUACAGAAAAAUAAAAUAAAAAAUCAUUCAGUUAUCUCUCGAAUCUCCUCUCCAACAUAAUCACGCUAAGGAAUAAUAUGCUUAAUUAUGGACUUGAUUUCUAGCACUGGGAAAGUAGAUGGUUUUUAGAAACUACUUCCAUUAGGCUAAAAAAAGAGGACACUCGGAAACCUAGCAGUAGUAAAGGAGUAAAUGAUACAGACUACUUAAUGUAACAUGCAACCAAAUGGGGGACUUGGAAGAUGUGCCAGGUAGUCUAAAGAGUGAAUGUAAGAAAAGACUGGCUACUGCUUAGGUAAAUGGUGUAGUGUGAAAUGGUACAAAAUCAAUGGAUGACAGAGAAAAGCAUGAUUCCACUUCUACCUCACUUCUGCCUGCACACCAUAAACCAUCCUCAAAGUUACAAGCAGAACAAAUUAAGAGAGGACUCACCCCAGUUAGAUGGCAAUAGUAAGAGAAUGUUUUAACCACUUUACAUGGCAGCCCCAGGGAAAACAGCACCCAUGGCAUUGGAGGGACUGGCAGAUACAGUCACAGAACAACUCUCUAAAAGAAACCACAGCCAGAAAAAGCAAAUGUCCUAGCUCUUCCCUAAGAUAGGAUCCUCAAAUUGCAGACUAAUUUGUUGCUGGGUCCUCAAAAUCACCAGAGGUUGUGUGGCGCAGUAGGCAGGAACAUGGACCUUUGCAAACCCAAUUCUGCCAUUAGUUACAUAUGUCCCUGCGGUGGGGGCGUCAUCUGAUUUCUCUAGACCAUACGUUUUUCAUUUGUAGAACCGAGACAGUAACAGCACCUACGAAAUGUGAGGGCUAAAAAUGAGGCAACGCAUAUAAAGCAUUUACAAGGUGCCUACUACACAACAGCUGAUCAGUAUAUAAAUACGAUUAUUUUAUUUUAGAAUUACAUAAAAAGUAUUUUCGUAUUUAGAAAAGAAAGCAAUGAUUACUAGGAGGCAACAAGAGUUCACAAGAACCAGAUGAUGUUAUCUCUACCAUUCUCCUCUGGUUUUUAAAUAUAAUGUGUUUAGAUUUCUGCAAGAUUGAUUUCCCAGUGGGUAGAAGGAAAUGAUGGAUUGGUUGCUCAUAUAGCUGGACGGACUGGUAGCUAAUUGAACAGCCAUGCCUAAGGAGUAUUGUUCAACAAAUACUUCAUUGUGCUUACUAUGUGUUCAGCAUGUCCUAUAUGCUAAGGAUUCAUAAGUGAAUAAGACAGACAAAAAUUCCUGUCCUCAUGGAGUUUAUAUUGUAAUGAGAUGAGGCAGUAAAAUAAUAAAUAAAUUAUAAAGUAUAGUAGAAUAUGGAAUGUUAUAGGGAAAAGUUAGACCAGGGUAAGGGUAUGGGACUGUGGGAUGGGGCUUUAUGCUUGUAAUCUGUCUGUUAAAUAAGCAUGCUAUCUGACAUCCAAAACACAGUAUAAGCCCCAGGCUGUUAGCCUCCUCCCCUCUUCCUACUUAUAAACCUGUAGUAUUUUUUCCUUCCACUAUGAGAACUUCAUUACUCUGAGUCAUAAUUGUGUGUUUAAUGUUUACCUUUGUCGCUAAGCUGAAAGCUCCAGAGUCUAGGGAGAAUGGCAAGACCAAGGAAGGGUCUCAGCAUUUGAGGAAUGGCUGCAGAAAGUGUCACGGGAAGGAGAAUCAAAUGGACCACACUGGAUGCCUCGUGUUUUUAAAGGACAUUGUUAUUAAUGGGACAGGGUUCAUACUCAUUCUGGGUCAUUCCAGACACGGGAGUUUGAACUAAUGGGGGAAAGUCCAGGGACUAGUCCAGCUUCCCAAAAGUUCUUUUUCACAGUUAGAAUAAUCUACAAAGAAAGUAAGCAUGAUUGAUUUCAUGUUCAAUCAGAAGUUAAAUGAUUAAGUGGAAGUUACUUAUUAACCUACACUUCUAAAAUGUAAGAUUCUAACUUUAAGACUAUAAUUCUGGUCAUUUCCAACAAUUUUAUUAAUAAAACGUUGAAUGGUAAAUUUCUGUAUUUUCUGGGUUAGUGUAGUAGUAAGUCUAUGACUUCUUUGUUAAGAAAACCCAUACAGAGAAUACAAAGAUUAUUUAUUCUAAAAGUACCAAUCUAAAAUUAUGAAAUAAGAGUCAUUAUAGCAGC
rnacentral:lncRNA from 10 species